ACGAACGCUGGCGGCGUGCUUAACACAUGCAAGUCGAACGGUGAAGCGCCUUCCUUUUUGGUGGGUGUGGAUGAGUGGCGAACGGGUGAGUAACACGUUAGUAACCUGCCCCCUUCUUCUGGAUAACCGCAUGAAAGUGUGGCUAAUACGGGAUAUUCUGGUUCUGUCGCAUGAUGGGUCUGGGAAAGAUAUUGUUUCGUUGGGGGAUGGGCUCGCGGCCUAUCAGCUUGUUGGUGGGGUGAUGGCCUACCAAGGCGGUGACGGGUAGCCGGCCUGAGAGGGUGGACGGUCACACUGGGAAUGAGACACGGACCAGACUCCUACGGGAGGCAGCAGUGGGGAAGAUUGCACAAUGGGAGCAAGGCUGAUGCAGCGACGCCGCGUGAGGGAUGGAGGCCUGCGGGUUGUGAACCUCUUUCGCCAGUGAAGCAGGCCUGCCUCGUUUGUGGGUGGGUUGACGGUAGCUGGAUAAGAAGCGCCGGCUAACUACGUG
rnacentral:rRNA from 1 species